GUAGUUUGAUCUUGGCUCAGAUUGAACGCUGGCGGCAGGCCUAACACAUGCAAGUCGAGCGGAUGAAGGGAGCUUGCUCCUGGAUUCAGCGGCGGACGGGUGAGUAAUGCCUAGGAAUCUGCCUGGGUAGUGGGGAUAACGUCCGGAAACGGGCGCUAAUACCGCAUACGUCCUGAGGGAGAAAGUGGGGGAUCUUCGGACCUCACGCUAUCAGAUGAGCCUAGGUCGGGAUUAGCUAGUUGGUGGGGUAAAGGCCUACCAAGGCGACGAUCCGUAACUGGUCUGAGAGGAUGAUCAGUCACACUGGAACUGAGACACGGUCCAGACUCCUACGGGAGGCAGCAGUGGGGAAUAUUGG
rnacentral:rRNA from 1 species